GCCCAUUGAGCCCACUUAAUUUCUGGUAAGUUCUUGACAUUAGGCAUGAAUUAUUUUGAUAAUGAAAGACUUGAAAUCAAAUUAAUGAUGGCUUAAUCUUUAUCGGGACCUCUAACGCGAGCGGCCUAGGAGACGCGUGGGAACUGGAUUAAGGACUGGGGCAUUCCAGAAUGCCAUCCAAGAAGAAUACUAAUGAUCGUACGUGAAUUAUGAUGAAGCCCCAGCUGAGCUGCAAGUCUUCUCUGAUAAAUAAAACAAAAUGAUGUUAUAGUGGGAAUUGAGAAUUACGUUUUGUGGGCAUGGAUGUAGAAGGGCCA
rnacentral:misc_RNA from 1 species